CAAAUGUGUACGGAAUACGGAUAAUAUUGAUAAUAAAAAUAAAAAAUUUGUUUACCAUUCUUAUCAAUUUUGUAAUGAUAAAUUCACAUUACAACGCCAUCUAUAGGUCUGUGGUUAUAAGUUGUCGAUUUAAUAAUAAUCCAGAUGGCUUACCAGUUACCAAAUUUUCCCAGGAAUCACCUAUAACCAUAAUAUUAAAUAUUAUACCUAUUACCUGUAAAAAGUAACAAGUUUAUGCCAACAAAUUAUAAUGUUAGUCUAUUAUGCAUUGUGUACUUAAUAAUUACAAAUGUACAAUAUUAUUUCAAGUAUUUCAACGCUCGUCAAUCUUAAAAUUACGAUCUCAAUGCGUUUUUUCUAUGAACAUAACGAGUAUCAACUGACAGUGAAUUUUUCCGGAUUUUCGGUUUAACCUGAUGGACCGUAUUAUAGCAGAACUGUAUAAAAUACAAAAUCGGUAGGCACUUUUCGAGGCAUCUAUUAUACACCUGCAGGCUGCAAGUACCAGUAUUUUGAAUUUUACAGAUGAUGUCUCAGCAGUGGUAGAAGUAUUAAAUUCGUACCAAUGCGAAAAAACUUAAAGGGCCCUUUUCAUUUUCAGAAUAAAUGUAACAAAAAAAUGUAACGAUGUUUGUGACCAAUAUCAUUUUCAGAAUUCGGAAACAAACGCUCUGGAGUACAACACUACAAUACUCAAAAAAGUAUGGAUUUUUUCUAGAUUUUUUCAAAUUGAGUCUAUAGUAAGUAGUAUGAAAACAUUUUAAUAGUUAUAGUUAUUUAAAGAUUUAAUAAGUACUUAUUCUUAAAAUUUAGUUUAAACUUUUAUACAUAUAAUUAUGUAUUACCAUUAUACACGUCAUAUUGUUGGUUCAAAAUAUUUAAAUUUUGUUUUAAUCACAUUACACUAUUACAAAUAUUGUUUUUUCAAUCAGUUCAGUAGAUUUAUAUCUAUAUACCUAAAUAUGGGACAUUAAAUUAAAUCUGAAGUUUUGUUUUAACCAAAUUCAUAGCUUUAUUUGUCUUUAAU